rnacentral:rRNA from 1 species
GUCUAUGGCCAUACCACCCUGAACACGCCUGAUCUCGUCUGAUCUUAGAAGCUAAGCAGGGUCAGGCCUGAUAAGUACUUGGAUGGGAGAGAAGAAUGUGCUCUAGGAU